UACGAAGGGGGCGAGCGUUGUUCGGAAUUACUGGGCGUAAAGGGCGCGUAGGCGGCGACUCUAGUCAGAUGUGAAAGUCCUGGGCUUAACCUGGGGACUGCAUUUGAUACUGGGUUGCUUGAAUUCGGGAGAGGAUAGCGGAAUUCCCAGUGUAGAGGUGAAAUUCGUAGAUAUUGGGAAGAACACCAGUGGCGAAGGCGGCUAUCUGGACGGUUUCUGACGCUAAGACGCGAAAGCGUGGGGAGCAAACAGG
rnacentral:rRNA from 1 species